rnacentral:rRNA from 1 species
UUAAUUCGAAGCAACGCGAAGAACCUUACCUAAGCUUGACAUCCCAAUGACAUCUCCUUAAUCGGAGAGUUCCCUUCGGGGACAUUGGUGACAGGGGGUGCAUGGUUGUCGUCAGCUCGUGUCGUGAGAUGUUGGGUUAAGUCCCGCAACGAGCGCAACCCUUGUCUUUAGUUGCCAUCAUUAAGUUGGGCACUCUAGAGAGACUGCCAGGGAUAACCUGGAGGAAGGUGGGGAUGACGUCAAAUCAUCAUGCCCCUUAUGCUUAGGGCUACACACGUGCUACAAUGGGUAGUACAGA